UGCGGCGCGCCCUACUACCUGCCGGUGCUGUCGCUGGUGGCGCGCGGCCUGACGCUGCCGCACGCGGCGCCGCCGCCCGUGACGCUGAGGGCCGCCGCACACCUGCAGCGGAACGCUGCCUCCGACGAGAGCCUGCUCACGCUUGACUUGCACGGUCCGAACCACCUCGUGGCUAUAAUAUCCCCUGGCGCGGGCGAUACGUUGACGGAGUGCGAAGCCAACUCGACGAGUGGGGCCCUGCGUGUGAAGCCCCAGCCGGGCCCUCGGUGGGCCCACGAGGACGGGCCCCGCGAGACGUACUUCAUCUCGAUGCACGACGCGCGCUCACCGCAGCCCUGGAAAUUACAGUGCCGGAUAAAAGGCGCGGGGGCGCUGCAGGUGUCGGUAGCGGGGCACGCUAUGGCGGGCGGGGCGGCAGCCGCAGGUGAGGACCUGGCCCGCCUGCUGGCCUCCUUCCCGCCGUGGACCACCGGCACCGGCUGGCCCGUCCACCUGCAUCUGUUCAACCUGUAGACACCGGCCAGCUACUGCAGACCUCCGUGCCGGGAGUCAACAACAAGACUGGAUCCGAUAAGCCAAACUUACUUUAUAUUAGUAAAGCGCCAAUUACAUGAUGCCGGUCUAAACAGCAACUAAAAUUUGUGAUAAAGAAAAGCGAUUGUAAGCAAUUAUUUUAUGCAUCUUUGACUUCUCAUCAAGUGAGUGUCACAUCCUGUGUUAAAACGUUUCUGCCCUUCUAAGGCAAGAAAAUUAAAUAGUCCUAAAAACGGUUUUGAUUUAAAAAUGGAGGAUAGCAAGAAGAAUUCUCACUAGUAUUAAAUAAUAUUUUUGUAGUUAAAUUGUUUGGUGUGAACAAAACCCAGUUCUAUUAUUUGUUGUUGUUUGAAGUUAGAAAUAACAUUAAAAUAUUUGGUGACAGUAGUUUUAUAAGGAAACAUGUUACAAUUAUUUAGAAAUAUCUAUUUUCUCGUUCGAAGUACUUGAAGCAUAGCAUUGGAACUGUUAAUGCAAUUUCGUGCGAAGCUGUUUUUAAAAUAGAAUUAUAUAAUUUCGGCAAAGCAUAAUGAAUGUGGCACUGGGUUUUGUCGUUCUUUUUAUUUCAGAUCCCGGAAAUAUAUUAAGAAAAUUUAAAAGUACUAUGACAUCAACGUCAAAUGAAACGCAUCCGUCUUGCCGUUUCCAACUGGACUGUAGCACUUAUUUGAAAAAAUCCUGGACUACAGGAACGUGAAUAAAUUAAUAAAUAUAUACCCAGCGCGCGAGUUGAAUGCAGUCGGGUCCUGAGGUAAGGAGUUGGAGAAUGUCCCCCCGCUGUUCGCACGCCUCGCCUCGCGCGCUUGUAGUAUAGUGCUGUGCCGUUGAAUAGGCGAAAAAUGUUUUAGACCCGUGUGUUGAAGAAAGGUAAAACGGUAGAACAAUAAUUUUUUAUUCAAUUAUUAGGUUAAAAUGGUAAACUUAAAGGGUUGUCAAAAUUUAUCGACACACAUGAUUAUCGUCAUCAAUUAUAAUUAGGUCCCAGCACUAUCGUAUUCUUUAACUCUGCAUUCAACUAGCGCGUUAUUUGUAGAAAUGUACGCAUGAUGUACUUUAUUGUUUAUUAGUUAAUAGUUGUCGUGUCAUAGAGUCGCGUAACUACAAGAUACGACAACUAUUAAUAUUUGAGGUAUAUAUGAGGUUGUUUUAGUACAAAGAGUGAGGGGCUGGGUAAUAAAUCGAUGUGAGUUAUGUAUUGCGUGCAGAAUACAUAUUAGAAUUAUUAUCAUUGAUUUUGGCUUCUAGUAAUCUAAUUAUGUUACAAUGGUUGGUCCAAUCAAAUUGAACUCUCCAUCUCUACAUUACAACAACGGGAGACAUUCCCAGGAAUUCUCUCCCGUUCUAAGUGCUGUCUAGUUAAAUAUUAAUAAUUAUAUUAUACUAAUUAUAAAGGCUCCUCGCAUUUAUUGUUGCAUUACUUUUAAUGCAAUUUUAAUAAUAUGAUAUAAUAGGUACGCGAUGAAAGUACAUUGCAAAUAUUGCUUUCAUCGUAUUGGUUGAGCAAAUAAUUUGUAUAUGGGCGGUGGCAAUUUAGUGACGCAUUUCAUUCUAAUAGUGUUUGUUUAGUUUUUUUAACUGUAUGAGUAUUUAUUAAUUUUAUUUUGUAUGUAUUCCGUCUGUGAUAAGUAAGUAAGUCUUCCGUAAGCAGCCUAAUUAAUGCACAUGAUAAUGUGUCGAGAGAUGUAUGUAAUGUAUGAUCUGUUUCUUCUCAAAGGUACUUAAGUAGGUAUAUCAGUACAUGAUCACUGUCAGAUUUUUGGGACUUCUGUUAAACGGUCACCGCCAUACAUUCGUGGGAAUAUAGGCGGCUGUUAUACCUGGGCUCAACGCACUCGGCGGUCAGGUCUUUCUUAUCCUAAACAUAGCGGCCAUAGCCAUUUGUAGGGCUAACUAAAAAUCUGUAAAAGCACUCCUACUGACGCCUAUGAAAAAAAUUUAAUUUUGACAUUUAUGUAUUAUACUAAGCUGUAAGUUAUGUAUUCUAUUAAUUACUUUGUUUUAUCCUGCAUUCAUUAACUGGUGGAAAUUAAUUUUGAUGUUAUGGUAUCAUUACUUGUUGCAGAUUUAUUGCAGGAUUCGUGUAGUGAAAUUUAAUAGAAUACGUCAACUAGUAUUGCAUUGCAAUUGUACGUACGAUUGAAAUGGCAAGCGUAGCAGUGCAGUUACAGUUAUUUAUUAGAAUCGCUCUACUGACCGCCAGCGUUCGGAAAGCUCCGUAAAAUCGUCUGAAGACGAAGGUUUUCAACCAGUGUGUAUUGCCAGUGAUGACUUACGGUACGCAGACGUGGACGCUAACUAUGGGCCUUAUGAGAAAGCUCAUGGUCGCUCAGGGGGCAACGGCUCUCCGUUGCCCCCUUGAACGAGAGAAACUCUCCAAGCAUAGCCCUCUGGCUAUGCUUGGAGUUUCUCUGCAAGAUCGAAUCAGAAAUGAGGAGAUCCGUAUGAGAACCAAAGUUACCGACAUAGUCCAUAUGAUUGCGAAACUGAAGUGGCAGUGGGCAGGGCACAUAGUUCGACGGACGGAGAUGGCCAUUGGGGCAGUACACUCCUCGAAUGGCGACAACGUAACGAAAGACGCAGUGUUGGUAGCUUAUAAGCUUUUAGGACGCUGUUUUACUCUGAAACAUUCUUAGCACAAUUAUUAAAAAUUAUGCUGAACAUAAUAACUAGUAUGUUAGAGUUUAGUGGGUAAUAAGUCAAUUAUUGUUGUAUUUUUUUGUAAUUAAUAUCGUAGGAUUAGGUAACAAUCUAGCGGAAAUUAAUAUAGAUUAAAGCUAUUUGCUACUUCUCCUAUCCUGCUACUGUCCUACGUGCUCAGUCCUGCGUGUGCGCGGACGACGUCGAGGGGUAUCAGCUAGUUUGAAAUAAAUAUCUUAAAGUGUAUGGUAGCGUGAUAAGCUUUACAAGAUAAAACAAGUAUCGGAUGCUCCUGCAAUAGACAUCAGUUAAAUGCCAUCCAAAUACGAGGUGUGUUCAAAAAGUAACGAGAAUUUUUAAAUUUCGCGGGUUUGGAGAGUUCGCCUGUAUAAAAAAAAAUUAUUGUGUUGGUACACAUGCCCCUGAAAUACGAUAAAAUUUUCAGCAAUAUUCAUUGCUUACUUUUUGAGUGGCAGCCGCUAACGUUAGUCGUGUUUUUCGAGCACGGCCAUUUUCGUUUGUGAAAAAAAAAAUGGAUCAAAGAAUUUGCAUUCAAUUUUGCGUAAAAAAUGAAAUACAGCGUAGUGAAGUUUGUAAAAUGUUAACAAAGGCAUAUGGUGAGUCUGCUAUGAGUAAAGCAAGGAUUUACGAGUGGUAUAAGUGUUUCCAAGAUGGCCGCGAAAACGUUGAAGAUGACGAACGACCCGGACGCCCAAGCACAUCAACAACCGAUGAAAACGUGAAAAAAGUGAAAGAAAUGGUUAUGAACGAUCGCCGAAUCACAAUCAGAGAAGUCGCUGAUGAUGUUGGCAUAUCAGUUGGCUCAUAUCAUGAAAUUUUUUCGGGUGUUUUGGGUAUGAAACGUGUGGCAGCAAAAUUCGUUCCAAAAUUGUUAAAUUUCGAACAAUAACAGCGUCGAAUGGAAGUUGCUCAGGAGUCGCUAAAUGAAGUUAAUGACGAUGCAGAACUACUAAAACGUGUUAUAACAGGUGACGAAACAUGGGUUUACUGAUAUGAUGUCGAAACUAAGGCUCAAUCGUCCCAGUGGAGGCAUUCUGGAUCGCCAAGACUGAAAAAGGCUCGACAAGUGCAGUCGAAUGUGAAGGUUAUGCUCUCUGUGUUCUUCGAAUUUCAUGGCAUAGUGCAUCAUGAAUUCUUGCCACACGGUCAAACAAUCAAUAAUUAGUACUACCUACAAGUUCAACACCGUUUGCGUGAAGCAAUCCGAAAAAAACGCCCGGAUUUGUGGCAAAACAAUUCAUGGCUUUUGGACCACGAUAAUGCACACUUCAUUGCUUGUUCGUGAAUUUUUGGCCAAAAACAAAACUGUAACGAUACCUCAGCCUCCAUAUUCUCCAGAUAUGGCUCCAUGUGAUUUUUUUCUAUUUCCAAAAAUAAAGAGAACAUUAAAAGGCCUUCGUUUUACACGCAUAGAUGACAUUAAAAGCGAAUCGCUGAAAGAGCUAAAAUCUAUUACAAAGAUCGAGUUUCAAAAGUGUUUCGAGGAUUGGAAAAAGCGUUGGCACAAGUGUAUUAUAUCCGAGGGGGAUUACUUUGAAGGGGACAAAAUAGAUAUUGAUGAAUAAAUAAAGAUUUUUUUCAUAAAACAAAAGUUCUCGUUAUUUUUUGAAAACACCUCGUAUAUAUAAAUAUAUGGAUGAAAACACGAUUGUCAUAAUGUGCCUUUUUCAUUAGAAAGUGUAUUAAAUGUAUGACUUGUCUCCAUACUUUUAUAGCUAUGAUUAAUUUUACGCAUUAUAAGUGGAAAUUUAUUUAAAUAAAAUACUUUAAAAGGAAAAAAAUGUAAUUCUAUCUGCAUUUUUAUAUUAGCUUAAAUAACGUAAAGGUUUACACUUUUUAUUAUAAUUUAUUUAACAUGACGUUUUAGGGGUAAGUACGCGUUUUAAUCCUUUUAAAAUUAUUUUAUUUAAAUAAAUGUGGAACACCCGCGUUAAUCAAAAAAAAAAUACUUGUGUGAAUUUGUUAUGCGAAAUGGAUAUUCCGUGUUUAUUUAUUAUUUUGACUUGCGCAGCAGGUCUAGGUCGUAUGAUAAAUACAAUCACAAUCUGGAAUAUAGCAAGUCAAUUUAAUGAAUUAACAAGAAAAAGGACUUAAUUGAACAAUAUACUAGGUAUAUAGAAAAAAGUAAUUGAAACGCUGCAAUGAUAUAUUAUUGUGACGCGGGAAUAUUACGUGCAGGAAGCCUGCAAUCGCGAGACGAAUGCUACGACACGACACUGUCAUUAUUUAUAUUUGGUUUCAAUUUUAAAGUUUACGUUCACGCUCCAUCUAAAGUAAAAAUAUUAUUAAUUUUGCACUGCAUCGUCUUGCGUUGUCUUUCAGUAUAUUAUCACAACGAUACCUCAGUUCCAAAGUGUUACAAGUGAGAAAUUCAGUAAGUUUGAGAUAAGUAUGAGAAUAGUAGAUUGUUAACUAAGGGUCGAAAGAAACAAUUCAAGAAUCAAAUCAAGAGGCGUCUAUAUAUAGGAAUUGAUUCUUUCGACCUGUGUUAAACACGCUUUUUUUCAUUUCAAAUAUGAGGAAAAUAAAACGAAAAUAAAACUAGUUGAUUAUCUAAACUAUUUAUUCAUAGUAUAUCAUAUCAUAAUAUUAGUAGUAGGUACCUAUUUAAAAUUAAUUGUCAAAAUAGGAUAAUUUACGCCAACUUUUUAAAUUUUAAAUAUGGAACUCACCGUGUAAUUGUUGCGGCUUAUCGCUCAAAGAAGUUUGCGCUAAGUUCACACUGGCUGUUUGGAAAGUCACAUGGCCGCAGAUUUUUUUAAAUUAGUUUUUUUACAUAAAACUCUUCACAGCUGACAGCAGUUCUAUUUUCAAAGUUCAGUCCGGCCCUUAGGUGGGAAGUAAUUUGUAUGAGUUUUUCCCUCUCUAUGGAGGGAAGCAGCAUUUUCCACCCAAUAAUCAGAUCAAAACAACAUUACUUUCCGAGUAUGAGAAAUGAAAAUUGCUCCAUUAACGAUAAUUACCCACCAUUACCACAAAGAAACAAGUCGAUCAAAGAGACUAGAACAUUUUUGUUUGAAGCAGUAACAACUCGAGUUAUAUUCUUUUGGAACCGUGUUCUGAAUUGUUACUUGUUGGAACUGAGGUAUCGAUAAGACAGGGGUGUGCAUUCUAUAUAGGCAAAUAGGCAUUGCCAACCUCCAUAAACACCUAUAUUAAAAUGAUAUAGCACGAAGAAUAAGAUCAAAAUCUUCGUGCCUUGCUGGAAAACAAAUGCACGCCCCUGAUAAGAGUCAGAGAAAGACACGGUGGUAUUAAUUUGUAGUAUGCGUCAUUUGUAUAUGGAUGCUAUACGUGUAUAAUAUGCUGUGAUAAAUAUCUAAUAAUAAUUGAUAACUGUAAUUAGAUUUUUACGGUUCGCGAGUCGUCCGGUUUUUUGCGUUUAGCCAACGAAUGUAACUAAUACAAUGUUUUAGGAAAAUCUAAGAUAAUGAUUUUAAUACAAUAUAGUUCAUAGUUGUCCCACGUACAUUACAUUUGUUAUCUAUCCUUGUCACUCGUUCACAAAGGUCGAUGACCGAAAUUCUCCUCGCUCUCGAAACUACGAAGCUAUAAUUGCAAAAGACGGGGAUCAGUAUUCAGUAUACGUAGACAACACAAAGAGAAAAUAAAGUACAAAAUUUAAACUAGCAAUAUCUUAAUGGUAACUUGUGUGUGUGUAAGAGUUUUUUGAGGAAUGCUACGAGUGGCGGGAAAUUUAAAAAUGUUUAAGCUUAUGUUACAUUUGUUGUACCUUUAAAAUAAUAUAUCAACAGUAUUUGAUAUUGUGGCUCAUUUUAUUGGCCAAUGUUCUGGGAAAUUUUAAAAAUAGUUACAAGACAUAAGCUCCCCAUUUUAUUUUAUUUUUGAUACCUUGAAGAUUUUCAUGAAUUUAGCUGGAGCAGGUAUCUUGAUCUUACGUCUCAAUUCUAAACUAGUUCCGCAUCGUCUAAACUAUAAUACUAAGAAACUAUGUUUCUUAUGUGGUUAUUGCAACUGUAUUUAAUAAUUAUCAACAAUAAAAUUACAUAGUGUUCAAAAAAAAUGAAAAAAGGCCUAAACCACAAAUAGGUGAAAAAAGCGGAUAAAAGGGGAAAAAAUUUAUUAUCUCGUAAACUACGCAAAAUCGUAUAACAUACAUAGGGGUGAUUCGAAUACUCAUCACAAUGAGGCUUUCAAAUUUUAGCCUUGGACGUCAACUUCUCGGCCACCCUGUAUAAUAAAUAUAUAUAUAUAUAUCAUUAAUUGUGUUCCCGUUGUAUGUCAUGUCUAACAUGUGCAAGGUUACUAGAAAGUACGGGCUACUUUUUUACAUUAUUAAACUCUUCUUCAAAUAAUUAAACAAUCAUAUUCAUUUCUAUUCAAUCAUCAUAGUCGUCUCUAAAUAAUAGUUAGGGCACGCUUUAUUUGCUAUAAGACAAAAACUUAAAAAGUCUUGAAAAUUUAUGCACCUACUGUUUUGAGAUAUUAAAGUUGUUUAUUAUCAUAUAUCUACACAGGUUUCUCUCAAAAAUAUGCCGCGGUUUUACCUCAAAAGUUAUUGGAAUUAAUUAGGAAUAGGAUAGUUGUGAGAAUAAAAUGUAGCUGUAGGGUUGGGUACAAUGUGUGGAUAAUGGGAAAAAUUGUAGAUUAGUUCAUGUACAAGCGAUGUAUAUUGUAUAGCGGGAUAUUGAAUAAUUUUAAGAAAUAUUUAGUUGAGUAUGUUAGCAACUAUUUAAAAAUAAAUUGCGAUCAGAAAUCUUAACUCUUACUGCAAUAGACCCAUCACUACCCAUUGAAGACCAUAUAGUGUUAAUAGUUAGAUAAGCUUCGAACGGAAAUUACGGUAGCACUGGUAGCUAUAAUAUAUACGAUAAGUAGAAGGAUAACCAAACCCGCAAAUGUUGUUAACUAUAUGUAAGUUAGUUGCAAAAUUACCGUUUUUUAUUUGUACUAAGUAUGCCAAUAGUCUGGCCGAAGUUUAUGUUAUAUAAAUAAAUAAUCAUUUAUUUUUCUGUGAAGGGAAACUGAACAAAUUAUAAAUGUAAAAUGUUGGUCCCGGCAGUAUAUAAAGAAAAUUCGAAAUAGCCACCUUUAUCUAUGAUGGGCUUUCUAUUUGGUCACGAACGAUGAACGGUUAUCCAGCCAUCAGCUACAAAUAUCUGAAUUUCAUUUUUUUGUGACAUGGUAGGAUAAAUAUUGUGCUACGAACCUAUUCUGCUUUUAGAUCGAGGGAAUUAUGUAUAGUAAUGUAAAUUAUUAUCAGUUCAUAUACGGGUUUCUUGGUCAUUGAUUUUGGAAGCAAUAAUUAUAUUUGUUAAUUCAUAAUAUUAACAUAUCAUACCUACUAAUACUGGCCAGAUUCAGAAAAAAGAUGUACGUCUUUUUUAAAUAGGUAGGAAAUACUCACAUGUGAGGAUUUGAUUUAUAAUACGGAAGUAGAGUACAACCUUAAAGUGCGAUUAAUUUGUUUUCUUUUUAAUUAUUAUUGUGAUUUAAAUAAAGUAUUGCAUAUGUUGAUAUUUA